AUUGAACGCUGGCGGCAGGCCUAACACAUGCAAGUCGAGCGAGCGGCGGACGGGUGAGUAAUGUAUGGGGACUGCCCGAUAGAGGGGGAUAACUACUGGAAACGGUAGCUAAUACCGCAUACUAUCGGAUAACCCAUAUGGGAUUAGCUAGUAGGUGAGGUAAUGGCUCAACGAGGCGACGAUCCCUAGCUGGUCUGAGAGGAUGAUCAGCCACACUGGGACUGAGAUACGGCCGAGACUCCUAAGGAGGCAGCAGUGGGGAAUAUUGCACAAUGGGCGCAAGCCUGAUGCAGCCAUGCCGCGUGGAUGAAGAAGGCCUUCGGGUUGUAAAGUACUUUCAGUCGGGAGGCAUUACCGACAGAAGAAGCACCGGCUAACUCCGUGCCAGCCGCCGCGGUAAUUC
rnacentral:rRNA from 1 species